rnacentral:rRNA from 1 species
GAUGAACGCUGGCGGCGUGCCUAACACAUGCAAGUCGAGCGAACGGACGAGAAGCGCGCUUCGCUGAUGUUGGCGGCGGGCGGGUGAGUAAAAUGAGGAUACCCUACCUAUAGGACUAGGAUAAGUAAGUGGAACCGAAGCUAGUACCGGACAAUAUUUGGAACGGCAUGGUUCAAAAGUGCAAGCGGGUCUUGCUGACCCUUAGUCAUGUUAGCUCGUUGGUGUGGUAAGGGCUUACCAAGGCGGCGAUGCGUAGCCGAUCUGAGAGGGUGACCGGUCACACUGGAACUGAGACACGGUCCAGACUCCUACGGGAGGCAGCAGUAGGGAAUCUUGCGCAAUGGGCGAAAGCCUGACCGAGCAACGCCGCGUGAGUGAAGAAGGUCUUCGGAUCGUAAAACUCUGUUAGUAGGGAAGAACGUAUGUAUAAGUAACUGUGCCUAUCUUGACGGUACCUACAGAAAAAGCACCGGCUAACUACGUG